rnacentral:lncRNA from 1 species
CAAUACAAUGGAUAGGUUAAAAGAGUUAAAUAGUCACUUCUCAGAUAAGGAAAUCCAAAUAGCUAACAAACAUGUGAAAUGACACUCAAACUUAUUAUUGGAAAAAUGUAAAUUAAAUUCCAAACAAGAUCAUCACUGUUUCAUCAGCAAAUUGGCAAAAACUUUAAAGUCUGACAAGUUUAAGUGUUGCCAGAGAGUAGAGCAAAGAAACUCUCAGAUGCUGCUAAUGGGAGUGUAAGUUGGUAAAUCACUUUGAAAAACAUUGAUGGUUAUUUUCUAAACUUUAAACUAUGUGGCCAAGCAAUUUCACUAUCAGGUAUAUACUCAAAAGUACACCAGGAGACGUGUAUGACAAUUUCAUAGCAGCAUUGCCAUAACUACCCUAAACUGGAAACUG